GCCCAUGUAGCUCAGUUGGCAGAGCACUUCCUUGGUAAGGAAGAGGUCUCCGGUUCAAUUCCGGACAUGGGCUCCA
rnacentral:tRNA from 1 species